CCUACGGGAGGCAGCAGUGAGGAAUAUUGGUCAAUGGACGAGAGUCUGAACCAGCCAAGUAGCGUGAAGGAUGACUGCCCUAUGGGUUGUAAACUUCUUUUAUAUGGGAAUAAAAUGUUCCACGUGUGGGAUUUUGUAUGUACCAUAUGAAUAAGGAUCGGCUAACUCCGUGCCAGCAGCCGCGGUAAUACGGAGGAUCCGAGCGUUAUCCGGAUUUAUUGGGUUUAAAGGGAGCGUAGGUGGAUUGUUAAGUCAGUUGUGAAAGUUUGCGGCUCAACCGUAAAAUUGCAGUUGAGACUGGCAGUCUUGAGUACAGUAGAGGUAGGCGGAAUUCGUGGUGUAGCGGUGAAAUGCUUAGAUAUCACGAAGAACUCCGAUUGCGAAGGCAGUUCACUGGACUGCAACUGACACUGAGGCUCGAAAGUGUGGGUAUCAAACAGGAUUAGAUACCCGAGUAGUC
rnacentral:rRNA from 1 species